rnacentral:lncRNA from 1 species
UCUGGAUCAGGCCACGCCCAAAGCCAAUUUGUCUCAGCUUAUUUACUAUAUCAGCUAACAUUCCAAUUUUGGGGUUUAGCCAGUUUGGUCAGAUUUUCUACCACUCAUGUUGAAAAACUCUUAACUGAAACAGAGGUGUUGUGAAGAUUACAGAUUAUAAGGGCAAAAUGGUGGCUGUAUCAGUGAACAGUAGUCAGGAUUAUUUUUUACUUUCCAGUGACUCAAACCUCUCCUAAACUGCUCUCUCAGUUUUGGCUCCGUCUUCCCAUGAUAAUAAUAGGUGGUGUAGAGAGGUGACAGAGUCAAGGAACAUGGUUCUUGUUUUCUGAAGAUGGUUCUUUCCUCAAGCCCUUUGAGUCUUCUUUGGUCUUAUAUUCUCAUCACAGAAGGAGAGGUGAUUGUCUUUCCCCAGUUUUGUCUACCAUUCCGGUUCCAUCUGCAUUCCCGGAGGAGUCCUGUUGAGGGCAGAGUGACUGUGAGCAAAACAAGAAGAGCUGUGUCACCAAGUUCCAUAAAAUCUGGGAGCCCAAGCAGCAUAUUUGUGGGAUUUGUCUGACAGAACGCAAUGGAAACAGAGCGUGGCAUUCGCUCCAUCUCCCCCAGAUGUUCCAUAAGUUUCUGCUUCCAUCAGCAAUGUAAGGAAGUGCCCAAUUCCUCCUACCCCCACAUUACUGAGAAUCUUAUCAAAUUUUUUGAUCUUUUCUGAUUGGCUCUCCAAUCCUGAAGUCAAAAUGGAAUGCAUCUCUGCUCUUCCUCUGGGCAUCAUCUAAUUUUUUUGUUCUUGUUUUCCUUGUGCUGGAAUCUACAACACCCUCUCCUAGCCCCUCAACCAGCCUUUCUUCUGCAGAGCAACUUAGUUCUAAUUAGCAACUACAAACCUAUUCACCUACAUCCAAGAGUUCAGUAGUGUCUUUUAAGUAUGUAACAGGCAAUUCUUUUACAUUUUAUUGAGAUGACUACUUUAAAAAAAUUGGUUGCUACCCAGAACUGUUUAGAACAUUGCUUGCUUUAGGUAAGUGAGUGAAGCAAGAUGUGAUAACAUAGGGCUGGGGGACUAGAGUUGGGUAAUAUGGUAGCACAUGAUUUUGUUACUUGAGAUUGCCUGUAAUUGUAGACAUCAGUGAGCAGGGUGAUAUGAACCUCACAGGGGCUCUUGAAGUUCUGCUUCUUCCCUAUUCCUUAAUGCAAUACAAUAUUUAGGUUCAUCUUUUCAAUUUUCCUGGAGAAAUUAAAUACUGUGCCAUAAUAAAAAAAUAAGUAAUUUGAAAGUAAAGGAAGGGCAUGAAUGGAGAGAAGGCAGGAAAACAUUCUAGGUUGGAAAAAAUGGCAGAAGUAAUGUUGGGACAUUGGAGUGAUGGUGGAGGUGGGAAUAGAGUCUAGGAUCUCUUCAUCCCAUACUAUGCAUCUAUCUUCACAAAAUUAGUAUGGCCAAAUAUUAAAUCAGCUCAUUUCUGGUUGGGAAAAGUAGGGUGAAUGUGCCUUUCUAGCUGUCCUUGAGAUGUAAAUCUCCUGUAACAUAGCUUCCCUAGUGGUCACCUCAAAGGCUUUGUUCUCUCCAGGAUAGAUGCUACAGAGUGGGACAGUACUUGGUGUGUGUGUAUCUCAAUUUUUUUUUAACAUGACAAAUUGAACUAGGGGCAAGAGAAGGAUAGACAGAGGAGCCUAUGAUGGGGUGGUGGAUACUAAAUAUUUUCCAGGUGUAAGGAGCAGAGGAGGAAAAGGGAGACUGGGUAACCCUUUUUCAGACCAUCAUUUAGUCCAUUUUAUGUUGCAAAUAUUAGCAAACCUACUCCAGCUUUCUUAAACAGUAGGGUUUUCAUUACAACAUAGUUAAGAGAGUAGGCUUAGGAGUAAGAUUGCUUGAUCCUGAGUAAGUUACUUAAUCUUGGUGUCUCAGUUUCUUCAUUCCAGUUAAGUAAAUAUAUUUAAAUUAAAUUAUAUUAGUUAGUAAAUGUAAAGCACACAGAAAAGUGUUUGGCUUCUGGUGAGCUUUCAAUAAGUGUUAACUAUUAUUUGUUAUUAUUAUUUUAACAAAACCAACCUCCAAAACCUAUGAAGUCAGUUUACAGAAAGCCACCAGGAAAAGGGAAAUAAGAAGAUUCUUUACUUUGCUGUCAUUUGAUACACUUAGCAUUUUAAAUGACUAUAUGUACAAUAUUAACCAUGCCUUUCCACAAAACUAUGUGUGUGCAUAUGAAUUACAGGGCUUUCAUUUGAAACUGAACUAUCUGUGUUUGUAGUCACUUUAAUCAUACAACAAACCUACAAAAUAUUUAAGCAUAAAUUAUCAUGAUGACUAAAUAUGGAAAAGCUUCUGUUACCAAAACCUGCACCCAAAUUGACUGCACAGGAUGGGUAAUUGGAUGGUGGUGUAAAGAAUGCUCAUGAGGACUAGGCUGCUGCUAAUUAGAUCUUCUAUGCUAUUUAAAUGUUCUCCAAGCUUCAGGGAGUGCCCUGAAGGCAGUUGGACAUUAGCCUUGUGGUUUUUGAGGGUAACCUACAGUUUGUCAGCACAGGGGUGGAGGUGAGCACCAUGGGACUUUUCCCAGGCUGCUGGUUAACAUACUGUGGUUUCAAUCCUUUAAGCCAAUAAAUGGAGGAGAGAGAAAGAAGGCAGACUGAAAUUAGAGGAAAAGAGACAAAGAAAGGAAAAGUGGAAGUAAGAAUAAUAUUCAUGAAAUGUCUUCUUUGGGCCAGAUAUUUUUUUAGGAACUUUCACAUAUUGUGCUUACAUCAACUCUGUGGGAAAUGUAUGAUUAUACUAUCCUCAUUUGUAACAGACAUUGUUGGGUGCCUAUAUAACAUAUAACAGCUAUUUUUCUUCAUUUUUUUCUUGCUGAUGGCGCUUUUUUUUUUUUAGUGUUUACUUCCCAUACAAAACUUAUGUCUCCAUGUCUCCAUCCUUCAGCAAUAGGGGUAAUUCUGAAAGGUCAUUGUUUUGCAAUUGCCCUUGAAAGGAAAUUCUUGGACAUAACAACAGAUAAGAUUCUAGCCAAUGAAAGGUGAUGAGAAGGUUGCUGAGAAGUUUCUGAGAAAGGUUUCUUUAUUCUUUAACAAAUACCCUGGAAAGAGACAGGCCUUCUGCUGCUGUUCAUGGUUGUACCUGCACAGGAUGCCUGAAAAGGAGUAACCGUGGGGUCAGAAGAGGAGCCAGCGUGAGGACAAAGCAGAUACACUGAAGUACCACCUGUCACUGAAUUUUUGUGCAAGAGUAUAAACAUUCUCAUUGUUUAAUCUUUCUGUGGGAGACGCUUUACUAUGUGUAGCAAAGUCAUUCUAACUGACAUACCAUUUUCCAUUGUAUGAGAAAACUGAUGUACAGAAAGGUUAAGAAACUUGCCUGCAUUUGCAUGCAUAAUGAGGAGUGGAGAGAACAGGUUGUGCCUUCUAAUAUACAGGCAAGAUAUGUCUCUUUUAAACAGCACAUACAGACACACUCCAAAAUGACAAUUUCCAUCAUUUUUUAAAAAUUAAAUGAGACAAAGACUCUAAAACUAUUUAAAUAACAUGUACAUUACUGUCUUGGGAUUUAUUUUUGUUUCAGCUCUAUUGAGAUAUAGUUGACAAAUAAAAUGGUAUGAAUUUAAGGUGUACAAUGUGAUGAUUUGAUGUAUGUAUAUAUUGUGAAAAGACCAAAAUAAAGUCAGUUAACAUAUCUAUUACUUCACCUUGUUAUCAUUUUUUUUGCGGUGAGAACAUUUAAUAUCUGCUCUCUUAGGAAAUAUCAAAUAUACAACACAGUAUUGUUAAUUAUAGUCUGUGUUCCCUUUGACCAAUGUCUCCCCAUUUCCCUGACUUCCUAGCCCCUGCUAAUCAACAUUAUAUUUUGUUUCUAUAAGUUUGACUUUUUCUGGUUCCACAUAUAUGUGAGAUUAUACAGCAUUUGUCUUUCUCUAUUUGACUUUUUAAAAAAUUUUUUUAUUUGUUGGGUUUUUAAAAUUAUACUUUAAGUUCUAGGGUACAUGUGCACAACGUGCAGGUUUGUUACAUGGGUAUACAUGUGCCAUGUUGGCUUGCUGCACCCAUCAAUUCGUCAUUUACAUUAGGUAUUUCUCCUAAUGCUAUCCCUCCCCCAUUCCCCCUCCCCUGGACAGGCCCUGGUGUGUGACAUUUCCAGCCCUGUGUCCAUGUGUUUUCAUUGUUCAACUCCCACCUGUGAGUGAGAA